ensembl:lncRNA
AAAGGUUAUGAGUUAUGAUAUCCAUAUGCUCAAAGUUUAAACUGCACAAAAUAUUUUGGAAAUUGAGCAGUAAUUUGUGAAUGUAUUCCACACACACACAAACAAAUUCUUCUAAUGUUUGAAAUGCAUAACUUAUAGCCCACUCAUGUAAAGUAAAUGUACAGUUCUUUCUCCAACAUCACAAGUCAUAUGAAUUGCACCAAUUACAGUUUAAAGUUUAAAAUCACCAAUAUUCCUCAUAUGUCAUCAGAUGUUGCCAUGGCUAUGUAAUCAAUGCAGUGGAUAGUAUUGCAUCACAAAACCCACUCAUGAGGUUUAGACUGCACAAAAUAUUUUAGACAUUGCGCAUUAUGACUUAUGUCUGCUUAUAGCAGUAUUCCAUACACAAAAAAGUGAUGCUUCUAAUGUUAACAAACUCAUGAACUUUACCAGACAGAUCUAAAGUAACCAUGCAUGCAACGCUAGAUAAUAUCACAUGCGUAAAGAAUUUGGCCUCCGUGAUGCAAGCAUGUUGAACCAUCUAAACUCUUGAUAUAGUAGUACUAUAGCACAAGAGAAGUGUGGCGAUUCAUCAAAUGAUCACUAGACUAUUUGCACAUUGCCAUAUGAAUGUGGAAACUGUCUCCAAGUUAGUGCCACUAUCUGGAAACAGGAAGAUAGUUCUGCCAAUGUCUAAAACUCUGAGUUUACACACAACAGAUGUGGUUGCAUAAUUUGAACACGAUACAUCACGGAGCAAGAGCCCUCCCGAGUCACGGCUAUAAUUACUAUGUUACAAUCAUGAAUGCAUUAGAUAUUGUUUUUGUUAUUGAGAGGCUAAACCUUCGAUAAGAUUUGUAAGUGUUAUAGACACUAAACCUUCGAUGAGAUUUGUAAGUAACUUUGCAUAAGAGCUUCUGCUAAAUCCCGUUCCUUUGAAGUUAAGCCUGAAUGAAUGAGAGUCAGCCAGAGGGGUCAUGGUGAGUUCGAUUUCUUUAUUGAGAGUGAAAGAACCGUUAAAAGCUCCAUCUGCGGUGGACCAUGGCUUCCAGCAGCCAUCUUGUACCAAAUAGACUUGUUUACAAAAGGCAGGAGGAAAAGACAACACGUGUGGCCUGAGAGUCCAACCUCUGCAGCCCUGCCGGACUACAGCCCUGUCCAGAGAACGGAUGCACUUUCUCCAGUGUGCCGCGCUGAUGCGGGACACUUGCAGUCAUAACAAGAGGCGCACAGCACAGACACACACACAUACACACACACAGAAAGGGCUCCUCCAGUGAAAUCCAUUCAAACUUAAGGAAAAAGGCACCAUCUGAAAUAGUAAACAGGAGCCUUGGGAGGCAGCUCUACAGUCCAAACUGUUUUUACAAAAAAGGAAAAGAGAAGGCAAAAUAAAAAAAAAACUUUUCAAUACAAAAAUGGUCCAAAUAUGAACAUAUAAAUUGUGAGAUUUCACCAAAACAGCUCCGUGUAUGCGUAUUACAGUGUCUGCAAAUAUGCAUGAAGAUAUGGACGCCAAUCAAAAAGAGCCAGUAUUCACAUGAAAAUCAUGACAUCUGUCUGAAUCUACGCUCCACAUCCAAAAGAUUUGAGAGCCCAUACAGGAAAAAGGCACUUUGAACGGAGAUGUUUUUCGGAGUCCCUUUGUGCACUGAGAAAGACAGAAAAACAAACUUAAUUGAUAUUGUUGUUGAUAUGAGUGUAAAGUAGUAUUUAUUGUUACACCAGGUUCUAUUGCUCGUAGCUUGACUAUUCUCUCCCUUGUACGUCGCUUUGGACAAAAGCGUCUGCUAAAUGACUAAAUGUAAAUGACUAAAUGUAAAUGUAAAUGACUAAAUGUAAAUGUAGAUGUAAAUGUAAAUGUAAAUGUCUUCAUUUGGAGGCUGGGGUAUGACUCACCACAUUAUGUUUAGCUCUCAAUAGCCACUUCUGGUGUUACGUGUCCAUUCAGAGCCUCCACUACCUGAGGACGGAAAGAAGAGGUUUAACGUUACUAGAGGCUAAUCAUAUUUGGAAAAUGAAAGUCUGAGGAAACUUUAUUUUUAAUUUUUUUUUAUAAAUGUCGACAAAAUAUAAAAUAAAUUACCAUUUUUGUUUCAAUCUCCACUUCAGUCACAAUUUCCUCUUUAACCUGAAAUUAAAUGAUGUGGAAUUUGAGACGGGUUUAACACACAAAAGAGGAAGAUUCAAAUAGCGAGACAAAUGAUUGGAGAUCAAUUGAAAAGACGGGGGGCCAUGAAUAAAUGAAAUCAGACCAAAUCUGUGCUUAUGGUAAAUUCAUUUUGAACUUUUUAGUGUGUCAAACGAGUAAUUCACCUUGAUGACUUCGUUGGUUGACAGAGGGGUGGGUUCAGCGAUGGGCUCCACCUCCACCUCCACCUCUGGCAGGACCAGGGUCUCAGCAAUGAUGGCAACUGGAGCCUAGAGAGGGCGGAGAAACAGGACUCAGAAACGCCAUUCAGAGUAUCUACACAUAUAUACGCACGUAUGCGACAUACUCGUGAAAUCUGAACUUACAGGCUCCUCAGCAGGUACAGACAUGGCCGCCUCCACAGCAACCGCAGAUUCGGUCACAACAAAGUCCUCAGCCAUGGUGUCAGGGGUCACGGGUUCAGCCGCGGCAACCUCAGGCUCGACGACAGGGGCAACAGGGGCAGCCUCAGCCUGAAAACAGGACAAUGAAAAGGCAUUUUAACAACCAAUCUGCAAGUCCGGUUCAACCCACCAAUACAUCAAUACAUACAUUUCAUUUACAUUAAAAAUAAGUAAGUAAAAUCCUCGCCAGCGAUACAUGAAGUUGACCCACUGGGACAUGAAGAUAUGUUAAAGUUAUGUAGCUGAAAAUGUGAACUGCAAGGGUUUAAACUGAAGACUGUAGCAGGAGUAUUCUUACAACAACAGAAUGCUUUCGUUCAGUAAAGUUCAUUUACACGGCACUCAUUCUGCCACAUAACCAUGUGUACCAGAACCAUAUAAAGUUCUUGUGACUUAAAAAAAAACACGCCGACUUCACCCUUGUUAAACUUCAAUUAUGUAAUAUAUGUAUCGGCAUAUUACUAAAUAUGAUGGAAGAUGGUAGGUCAUACCGCAACAGCCUCCUCAAUCUGGGCUGGAACAUCUGGGCACACCUCUGGCUCUGGCUCUGGAGCAGCAGGAGUCACCUACAGGGUACGAGAGAUUGAAGUCAGCUAAACAUGCAACAUGGUGCGAGUGGAACCCACAUAUACAGCUUAGUAAACCCCGCACACACCAACAGCUGCAAGCCCCAAGAGACCUUCGGUCGAAGUUGAAGAAAGGUGUGCAUAGGGCCAGGAGAGAGAGAGAGAGAGAGAGAGAUAUUUUGCACUCUGCAGCACAAAGAGAUAAACCUUUAACCACAAAGAGUUUUUAGUUCAGUGCCUGCAUACAAAAGAAACGCCCCUAAAAAGGUGGAGGCGCAGCAGCCAAUCAAACACAGGAGAGGGGAGGCGUCAUUGCUGUGCUGAAGAGGGAAGCGUAAGCAGUGAAGUGAAGUGAAGCAAGGCAGCGGAAGAGGUGCCCUGUUAAGAGUUGAAGGAUGUGCCCUGUUAAGAGUUGAAGGAGGUGCCCUGUUAAGAGUUGAAGGAUUCUGGAGAGAUAAAAGAGGCUUAGUAACCUCAGGAACCUGCUCAGCUUCCACGGUCUCUGCGGGGGCCACCACCACCUCCACCACCUCCACCACCUCUGGUUCUUCACUCACAGUCUUCACCAUGGCUUCUUCGACCUCAGGUUGUGCAAUCACAGCUUCAUCUGCGUCUUCAGGCGACUCUUGCUCAGGCAUGGCCACAGCCUCGGGUUCCACCACCUCGGCGUCAGCCGAAACUGGUUCGACUGCAUUUUCUGAAAGGGUUUGGGCUUCAUCUGCAGGCUCAGGUGCAGGCUCAGCUAACACGUCAACGGGCUCCGAUACGGACUUUUGUUCUUCUUCAACACUGGGUUCAGGUACGAUCUCUUCUGGUGCUUCGACAGCGGGCGCCCAUGCCACACCGUCCACUUCUGAUGUCUGUGACCACAUUUUACAAAUGCCAAUACAUUUACUCAACAUGCCAAAAAAAAAACACCAGUUUGUUUUACCCACAUACACAUCAUUCUGUUAAUAUUCUUCUUUUACCCUCAUAACCAUUACUUAGUGUAAUUUGUAUAAAGCGUCCCAAACCAUAUGCUUCAUACACUUUGCGUAUUUCAUUCAAAUGACUAUUGAACUACUGGAUUUCAGAGAAACAACUUGCAAUCAGUCAAAGCUGAUGCAUGGUAUGGCAGUUGAAUGCAUGCAAUGACUGCAAAAGGAAAUGUACAAAAGCAUUGCAAUACUCAAUCAAACUCUUUAAUGGUCUGCUCAACCAUUUGGUUUAGUACGCCUUGUUUUGUUGAAUUCCGAGUAAAUAACUUGUAACCUGGGGGGAGCACUGUGGCGCACUGUGGCGCAAGCAGUAGUCCCGACCACAUUUGGGCUUUACGCCCAUGGAAGACACGGGUUCGAAUCCAGCCCGAUGUCUUUUCUCCUGCCCACCUCUUCUCCCUCUCAUUUCCUGUCCCACUCUUCACUGAAUUAUCAAUUAAAGGCAUAAAAGCCCAAAAAUAAUAAUAAUAAUAAUAACUUGUAACCCACCUGCGCCAAUGGUUUAAAGUGUGAUGUAUUAAUAUAUAUAUUUCCCCCUUGGCGUGACUAUUAAAGGGUUAAGACACACAGCCCAGUGAUUAAUAUUAACAGUGUAGUACUCUGCAGGUAAGCUUUUCUGCUGGUCAUUAAGAUAAGCACAAACCUCGAUGGUCUCCUGGACAACUGCGUCUUCACAAACCUCGAUGGUUUCCUGGACAACUGCGUCUUCGCUGGGGGCAGCUUGUGUCUCGCCCUAGAAAGAGAAAGCGAGAGGUAAGGUCACACUACAUUAAACUCAUUAAAGGUGGUAGGUGCUCUAGCCUGAACUCAUAGUGGGGAUUAUGGUUAGGCAUUGGCAUGGAUGUGGUUCAAUAUUUGGCCAUUAAUCCAUCUCAUACAAGAGGUGGAGGUCGUGCAGUUUCUGCGUUUCAUGGAAAGACUAAGAGCACAUGUGCAUUCACUGGAUGUAAGUGAGAACCUGGUUGUGUGUGCAUAUAUGCUAAGUGAUAUGGGGAUAUAGGGGGUUGAAGGCUACACAACAUGUUGAAAUAUUACAGCCAAUUGCAUCACACACAAAAACACACUACACAGAGAUACCACCCAUGUACAAUAAUCAUAUAUAAAUGCAUGCAGCUCAUGUCACAGUAUACAUUACAUCCUGAAUUUUGUGAAAGAUAAGAAAAAAAACAUUUUUAAAUAAAACAGUAAAAAUCAACAAAAACUCAAAUCUAGAGUCUUUGUUUCUCCCCACGCACAGUAGGCAUCAGUGUAGGGAGCCAUUAUGGAACA